rnacentral:rRNA from 1 species
UACGUAGGGGGCGAGCGUUGUUCGGAAUUAUUGGGCGUAAAGGGUGCGUAGGCGGUUUGGUAAGUCUUGUGUGAAAUCUACAGGCUCAACUUGUAGUCUGCACGAGAAACUGCCGGGCUUGAGUAUGGGAGAGGUGAGUGGAAUUCCUGGUGUAGCGGUGAAAUGCGUAGAUAUCAGGAGGAACACCUGUGGCGAAAGCGGCUCACUGGACCAUAACUGACGCUGAUGCACGAAAGCUAGGGGAGCAAACAGG